rnacentral:rRNA from 1 species
GACGAACGCUGGCGGCGUGCCUAAUACAUGCAAGUCGAGCGAAUUUUUGGGAGCUUGCUCCCAAAAAUUAGCGGCGGACGGGUGAGUAACACGUGGGCAACCUGCCUGUAAGACUGGGAUAACUUCGGGAAACCGGAGCUAAUACCAGAUAAUUCUUAUCAACUCAUGUUGAUAAGCUGAAAGACGGUUUCGGCUGUCACUUACAGAUGGGCCCGCGGCGCAUUAGCUAGUUGGUGAGGUAACGGCUCACCAAGGCAACGAUGCGUAGCCGACCUGAGAGGGUGAUCGCCACACUGGGACUGAGACACGGCCCAGACUCCUACGGGAGGCAGCAGUAGGGAAUCUUCCGCAAUGGACGAAAGUCUGACGGAGCAACGCCGCGUGAGUGAUGAAGGUUUUCGGAUCGUAAAACUCUGUUGUUAGGGAAGAACAAGUACGAGAGUAACUGCUCGUACCUUGACGGUACCUAACCAGAAAGCCACGGCUAACUACGUGCCAGCAGCCGCAGUAAAAC